GCAUAUCAAUAAGCGGAGGAAAAGAAACCAACAGGGAUUACCUCAGUAACGGCGAAGUGAAGCGGUAACAGCUCAAAUUUUGAAAUCUGGUCCCCUCUGGGGGCCCGAGUUGUAAUUUGAAGAAGGAUGCUUUUGGCGAGGCGCCUUCCGAGUGCCCUGGAACGGGACGCCACAGAGGGUGAGAGCCCCGUAUGGUAGGACGCCGAGCCUCUGUAAAGCUCCUUCGACGAGUCGAGUAGUUUGGGAAUGCUGCUCAAAAUGGGAGGUAAACCCCUUCUAAAGCUAAAUAUUGGCCAGAGACCGAUAGCGCACAAGUAGAGUGAUCGAAAGAUGAAAAGCACUUUGAAAAGAGAGUUAAACAGCACGUGAAAUUGUUGAAAGGGAAGCGCUUGCGACCAGACUUGCGCCCGUCGGAUCAACCGUCCCUCGUGGGCGGCGCACUCCGGCGGGCUCAGGCCAGCAUCAGUUUUCCUGGGGGGAGAAAGGCGGUGGGAAUGUAGCUCUUCGGAGUGUUAUAGCCCGCCGCGUAAUACCCCCGGGGGGACUGAGGACCGCGCGAAAGCAAGGAUGCUGGCGUAAUGGUCGUCAGCGACCCGUCUUGAAACACGGACCAAGGAGUCGUCCUAAUAUGCGAGUGUACGGGUGUAAAACCCCUGCGCGUAAUGAAAGUGAACGGAGGUGAGAGCUUCGGCGCAUCAUCGACCGAUCCUGAUGUUCUCGGAUGGAUUUGAGUAAGAGCAUAUUGGGCCGGACCCGAAAGAAGGUGAACUAUGCCUGUAUAGGGUGAAGCCAGAGGAAACUCUGGUGGAGGCUCGCAGCGGUUCUGACGUGCAAAUCGAUCGUCAAAUAUGGGCAUGGGGGGCGAAAGACUAAUCGAACCUUCUAGUAGCUGGUUCCGC
rnacentral:rRNA from 1 species